GCUAAGGGAUUACUGAUUAAGUCUCUUGAGAUGCUUGUAGAGGCCCUGGUGCCCUUUCUCAUCCAGGAGCCCCAGGGACAGUUUGCUGGAGUGGAGGGUGGGUCCAGGCUUCUCUAACAGUCCAACAAACUGGGCUCAGCUGCACUGUCCAAACGUUCAGGAGGAGGGCUCCUGGGAAUGAGGCCUCAGGGGUGAGGCCCAGUUUCCUGGACUCCAGCAGUAUCAGUGUAAAAAUGAGGCAUGUCUGAUGGGCCCCCUGGCUUUGAGGGCACACUUUCAGGAGGAGCAGCUUUGCAUGAGCAAUGAGAGGCGGUCCCUGUGGAGUCCUUGACAAGGAACUGACCAGUGUUUCUUUCAGCAUCCAUCAUUCCAACCCACCCCCUUAUUCAGCGGAGGCAGGCUGGAUUUUGCAGAGCUGACUCUGCCCUUCAGCCUGCAUGGGAGGUAACUGAUGGGAGAAUAAGCCAGUAUCCAGCAAGGACCUGAGACCAGACAACAGCCAUGGGUGUGAACUUGGAAGUGAGUUCUUCUCCAUUGAGCCUUUGGAUGACUGUGUUCGUGGCUGACACCUUGACUGCCUCCUAGGAGAAACCCUAAGCUGAAGUCACCUAAUUAAGUCAUACCUGGAUUCCUGGCCCUCAGAUAGUAUGAGGUAAUAAAUGUUUGUUGUUUUAAACCAGAAAGUUUUGGGAUAAUUUGUUAUGCAGCAUAGAUAACUAAAAGAUAUUUGUUAAA